UAAGCGGAGGAAAAGAAACUAACAAGGAUUCCCCUAGUAACGGCGAGCGAACCGGGAAGAGCUCAAAUUUGAAAUCUGGCGUCCCACGGGCGUCCGAGUUGUAAUCUGCAGAGGCGUCUUCCGCCCCGGACCGCGUCCAAGUCCCUUGGAACAGGGUAUCAAAGAGGGUGACAAUCCCGUGCUUGACGCGACCCCCGGUGCUAUGUGAUGCGACCUCAAAGAGUCGAGUUGUUUGGGAAUGCAGCUCAAAACGGGUGGUAAAUUCCAUCUAAGGCUAAAUAUUGGCGAGAGACCGAUAGCGAACAAGUACCGUGAGGGAAAGAUGAAAAGCACUUUGGAAAGAGAGUUAAACAGUACGUGAAAUUGUUGGAAGGGAAACGAUUGAAGUCAGUCGUGUCCGAGGGGUUCAGCCGGUCCUGCCGGUGCACUCCCCUCGGACGGGUCAACAUCGGUUCUGUCCGGCGGACAAGGGCAGGGGGAACGUGGCACCCUCGUGGUGUGUUAUAGCCCCCCGUCGCAUACGUCGGUCGGGACCGAGGAUCGCAGCUCGCCCUCACGGGCCGGGGUUCGCCCACGUCCG
rnacentral:rRNA from 1 species